rnacentral:rRNA from 1 species
UACGUAGGGGGCAAGCGUUGUCCGGAUUUAUUGAGCGUAAAGCGCGUGUAGGCGGCCAGGUAGGUCCGCUGUGAAAACCCGAGGCUCAACCUCGGGACGUCGGCGGAAACCAUCUGGCUAGAGUCCGGGAGAGGUGAGUGGAACUGCGAGUGUAGAGGUGAAAUUCGUAGAUAUUCGCAAGAACACCAGUGGCGAAGGCGGCUCACUGGCCCGGUACUGACGCUGAGGUGCGAAAGCGUGGGGAGCAAACAGG